rnacentral:telomerase_RNA from 1 species
AAAAAAGAUGGCUGACAUGUUUGUAUUUUCUCAAGCCGCGUAUGUUGAGCGAGCACAGCCGUGUCUUUAGUGGCAUAUGUUGUGUUCAAGGGUUCGCCCUGUUGCUUGCUGCGUUAGGCUUGUUUACAUGUUGCAUGGAUGUUUUUUAGUCGUCGAGCUUGUAGAUUAAAUGCCAUUGAGUAAGUAGUCAUUGUGCCUGGUUCUCUAGUCGUAGAACUGCAGGCCAGCUACCACUCAAACAAAC